rnacentral:rRNA from 2 species
UGGCGGCAGUAGCGCGGUGGUCCCACCUGACCCCAUGCCGAACUCAGAAGUGAAACGCCGUAGCGCCGAUGGUAGUGUGGGGUCUCCCCAUGCGAGAGUAGGGAACUGCC